AUUGAACGCUGGCGGCAUGCCUUACACAUGCAAGUCGAACGGCAGCACGGGUGCUUGCACCUGGUGGCGAGUGGCGAACGGGUGAGUAAUACAUCGGAACAUGUCCCGUAGUGGGGGAUAGCCCGGCGAAAGCCGGAUUAAUACCGCAUACGAUCUACGGAUGAAAGCGGGGGACCUUCGGGCCUCGCGCUAUAGGGUUGGCCGAUGGCUGAUUAGCUAGUUGGUGGGGUAAAGGCCUACCAAGGCGACGAUCAGUAGCUGGUCUGAGAGGACGACCAGCCACACUGGGACUGAGACACGGCCCAGACUCCUACGGGAGGCAGCAGUGGGGAAUUUUGGACAAUGGGCGAAAGCCUGAUCCAGCAAUGCCGCGUGUGUGAAGAAGGCCUUCGGGUUGUAAAGCACUUUUGUCCGGAAAGAAAUCCUUGGCCCUAAUACGGUCGGGGGAUGACGGUACCGGAAGAAUAAGCACCGGCUAACUACGUG
rnacentral:rRNA from 1 species